GAUGAACGCUGGCGGCGUGCCUAAUACAUGCAAGUCGAGCGAACAGACGAGAAGCUUGCUUCUCUGAUGUUAGCGGCGGACGGGUGAGUAACACGUGGAUAACCUACCUAUAAGACUGGGAUAACUUCGGGAAACCGGAGCUAAUACCGGAUAAUAUUUUGAACCGCAUGGUUCAAAAGUGAAAGACGGUCUUGCUGUCACUUAUAGAUGGAUCCGCGCUGCAUUAGCUAGUUGGUAAGGUAACGGCUUACCAAGGCAACGAUGCAUAGCCGACCUGAUAGGGUGAUCGGCCACACUGGAGCGGGACCGCGGUCCAGGCUCCUACGGGACGCAGCAGUAGGGUAUCUUCCGCAAUGGGCGGAAGCCUUACGGAGCAACGCCGCGUGAGUUGUGACGGUCUUCGGAUCGUGAAACUCUGUUAUUAGGGGAGAACAUAUGUGUAAGUAACUGUGCACAUCGUGACGGUACCUGAUCAGAAAGCCACGGCUAACUACGUG
rnacentral:rRNA from 1 species